rnacentral:rRNA from 1 species
AUGGCCGCCUUCGAUGCCAACUACGACUCUCAGUUGGACCAAAUGAUCGUUGCCACCACCAACAAGUUCACCGUCCUCAAGAAGCUCGCGGACGACAUCACCGUACUCCUCCAGCCCGCACGCCCGGGCUCCUCAUUGCCUACCACCCUAAUCGGCCUCCAUGUCCGGAACCUCUUUCAAGCACUGGUGGCCCUGCGACUGCCCGCCGACGCCACAAAGAAUGGCCACCUGGAGGUCGCGGUCGCCGCGAGGUGCCUCGCCCUACAAGAAUUCAUCGACCUACACAUCCACACUGAUCAAUUGAAAGUGAAGUGGGGUAUUUCGCCCAAUUCUGCGAGUGUCGUGUUCUCCACAGGGACUAGGCGACGACAACAAUGCUCGGCUAAAGCUAGGUGA